rnacentral:rRNA from 1 species
UUACCUCCUUGACAUGAAGUAAUUCCUUCGGGCACAGGUGCUGCACGGCUGUCGUCAGCUCGUGUCGUGAGAUGUUGGGUUAAGUCCCGCAACGAGCGCAACCCUAUCUUAGUUGCCAGCAUAUGGGACUCUAGGAGACUGCCGGUGAUAACCGGAGGAAGGUGGGGACGACGUCAAGUCAUCAUGGCCCUUACGGAGGGCUACACACGUGCUACAAUGGCAUACAAGGGGCACUGCGAAGGGUGCAAUCUCAAAAUGACCUUAGUCCGGAUCGCAGUCUGCAACUCGACUGCGUGAAGUUGGAAUCGCUAGUAAUCGCGAUCAGCAUGCGCGGUGAAUACGUUCCCGGGCCUUGUACACACCGCCCGUCACACCAUGGGAGUGGGUGACCGAA